rnacentral:rRNA from 1 species
GAUGAACGCUGGCGGCGUGCCUAAUACAUGCAAGUCGAACGAAACUUCUUUAUCACCGAGUGCUUGCACUCACCGAUAAAGAGUUGAGUGGCGAACGGGUGAGUAACACGUGGGCAACCUGCCCAAAAGAGGGGAUAACACUUGGAAACAGGUGCUAAUACCGCAUAACCAUAGUUACCGCAUGGUAACUAUGUAAAAGGUGGCUAUACUACCGCUUUUGGAUGGGCCCGCGGCGCAUUAGCUAGUUGGUAGGGUAAAGGCUUACCAAGGCAAUGAUGCGUAGCCGAAUUGAGAGGUUGAUCGGCCACAUUGGGACUGAGACACGGCCCAAACUCCUACGGGAGGCAGCAGUAGGGAAUCUUCCACAAUGGGCGAAAGCCUGAUGGAGCAACGCCGCGUGGGUGAAGAAGGUCUUCGGAUCGUAAAACCCUGUUGUUAGAGAAGAAAGUGCGUGAGAGUAACUGUUCACGUUUCGACGGUAUCUAACCAGAAAGCCACGGCUAACUACGUG